GCUGCAUAAACUAUUUUUAGGGUAGUGGCUCACAGAAUGCAAAGGGUUAAGUGUCUGGCGCACAGCGAGGAAAGCAUGAAUGUGUGUGCAUGUGUUUAAAUGUGGAGGACAGAGAGUGAGUGAUGAGAGAGAAAAAGAGGGGAAGGGGGUAAGUAUAAAAAUAUAAAUUCUGUCUGGAGUGUGAAAAUGUUUGAAGAUGGGAGGGAAUACAGACAAAACAGGCACCCAAAAGAAGGUGAGAGGAAAAAAAGAGUGCGCAAGAGAGUAGGGUGGGGAUGAAGGGGGAGGGAAGGAAAUGAAGAGAGAGGGAGAGAGAGAGAAAGAGAGAGAGAGAGAGGGGGAGGAGAAGGAAGCGGAGCGCAUUCACAAUUUUCAUUCAAACUGACACAGCCUGUGUGUCCCGGUUUGCACUCCCCACUAGCUCUCUCUUUCUCUCUACACACACACACACACACACAUACAGAGAAUGAGAAACACCAGACCGUCUGCAGUUAAGUUAAUAGCGGCUAGAGGAUGGCUUCAAGAAGAGUGAGAGACCGGGACGAGAAAACCUGAGGAGACUGGCGGAAGGGGUGAGAAUAGAAAGAGGAGGUAUGGAAUUCACAAAGAGAUGUCAGGGUGGAAGGUGAGUAGGGAGAGGACGAAGAGUUUUAAAAUAGAAGAGAAAAAGGGAGGUGGAGGAAUGCAUGGGGUUGGACGGCCGAGCUCGACGUAUGGAGGGGGCAGAGAUCGACUGGAGCCAGACUGGGUGUAUGCAUCUGAGAGAGUCACUGUGGUGGUGAUAUUCAGUGCCAGUGGAGGUUGCCCUGGAUACAUGCUAAAAGGGACAGACAAAAUAAUCUCUAUUAUCGCACUAUGGGACACUUAAUGUUUCAUGUCCCUCAGUCUAAUAAUGUGACCUGAAGUGUGGAGAGCUCUGUCUGGUCGACAGUGGCACAGUACACCUUAGAUGGCAGUGAUGGUGUAACCAUGACAGAUCAGAAAAUACUGGAGAGGAGAAUGAAGUCCUUCAGAAGGUUUUGUGUGGGAGUGUGAUUGAGAGAAAUGAUUUUUCAUAGCCAGAAAGCCUCUGUGUGGACUGUGCCAAGAAUGACCAUCAGGGAUUGUCUACCUUUGUACUUUCUCCUUUCUCGUUUUAACACCAAUCAAAUAAAUGUUUGUAAAUGAGAGCUUAGUGUGGCUCAGAAAUACACAGCAUAAAAACACCCCCUUCUUUUGUUUCAAAUCAAAGCAUUGCUGCUGGUGACAGGAUCAUCGCUCCUGCCAAAGAUUUGAAGUUCAGUUUUUUGUGACCAUGAGUAGGCUGUUUUUUGGAGUUCUCUAUUGUAGUCUAGUGGACUGAACUGUGCUGUAAUACAAUGCUGCAAUACAAGCAGAGCUAUUGAUUGCCAUUCACACUGCACUGUUAAUUAUGACAGUUCAUCUAUUAUGUUGGACGAGAUAAAUAAUUGAAUACAGUUUCAAAACUAUAUCAUGCAUAAAUUAUUAUAUGUAAAUGCAUUUUUCUUUUUUAUAUGCCAUUAUUAAUGGUAAAAAAA
ensembl:lncRNA